UGGUGGGUAGUUUGACUGGGGCGGUCUCCUCCUAAAGAGUAACGGAGGAGCACGAAGGUUGGCUAAUCCUGGUCGGACAUCAGGAGGUUAGUGCAAUGGCAUAAGCCAGCUUGACUGCGAGCGUGACGGCGCGAGCAGGUGCGAAAGCAGGUCAUAGUGAUCCGGUGGUUCUGAAUGGAAGGGCCAUCGCUCAACGGAUAAAAGGUACUCCGGGGAUAACAGGCUGAUACCGCCCAAGAGUUCAUAUCGACGGCGGUGUUUGGCACCUCGAUGUCGGCUCAUCACAUCCUGGGGCUGAAGUAGGUCCCAAGGGUAUGGCUGUUCGCCAUUUAAAGUGGUACGCGAGCUGGGUUUAGAACGUCGUGAGACAGUUCGGUCCCUAUCUGCCGUGGGCGCUGGAGAACUGAGGGGGGCUGCUCCUAGUACGAGAGGACCGGAGUGGACGCAUCACUGGUGUUCGGGUUGUCAUGCCAAUGGCACUGCCCGGUAGCUAAAUGCGGAAGAGAUAAGUGCUGAAAGCAUCUAAGCACGAAACUUGCCCCGAGAUGAGUUCUCCCUGAGACUUAGAGUCUCCUGAAGGAACGUUGAAGACGACGACGUUGAUAGGCCGGGUGUGUAAGCGCAGCGAUGCGUUGAGCUAACCGGUACUAAUGAACCGUGAGGCUUAACC
rnacentral:rRNA from 3 species